rnacentral:rRNA from 1 species
UACGUAGGGUGCAAGCGUUAAUCGGAAUUACUGGGCGUAAAGCGUGCGCAGGCGGUUGUGCAAGACGGAUGUGAAAUCCCCGGGCUCAACCUGGGAACUGCAUUUGUGACUGCACGGCUGGAGUGCGGCAGAGGGGGAUGGAAUUCCGCGUGUAGCAGUGAAAUGCGUAGAUAUGCGGAGGAACACCGAUGGCGAAGGCAAUCCCCUGGGCCUGCACUGACGCUCAUGCACGAAAGCGUGGGGAGCAAACAGG